UACGUAGGGUGCGAGCGUUAAUCGGAAUACUGGGCGUAAAGCGUGCGCAGGCGGUUCGUUGUGUCCGUCGUGAAAGCCCCGGACUUAACCUGGGAACUGCGAUGGAAACUAGCGAGCUGGAGUGUGGCAGAGGGGGGUGGAAUUCCGCGUGUAGCAGUGAAAUGCGUAGAGAUGCGGAGGAACACCGAUGGCGAAGGCAGCCCCCUGGGCUAACACUGACGCUCAGGCACGAAAGCGUGGGGAGCAAACAGG
rnacentral:rRNA from 1 species